AUACGGAAGGUCCGGGCGUUAUCCGGAUUUAUUGGGUUUAAAGGGAGCGCAGGCGGAGAUGCAAGCGUGACGUCAAAUUUCGGGGCUCAACCCCGUCUCGCGUCGCGAACUGCGUCCCUUGGUUGCGGGAAGGGGAGGCGGAACUCGUGGUGUAGCGGUGAAAUGCAUAGAUAUCACGAAGAACUCCGAUCGCGAAGGCAGCCUUCCGGCCCGUCAACGACGCUCAUGCUCGAAGGUGCGGGUAUCAAACAGGAUUAGAUACCCUGGUAGUCCGCACAGUAAACGAUGGACACCCGCGGUUUGGCCUGUAUGGCUGAGCCGCCAAGCGAAAGCGUUAAGUGUCCCACCUGGGGAGU
rnacentral:rRNA from 1 species